rfam:Arabidopsis thaliana chromosome 1, complete sequence.
AAGAAUAAGGAUGACGAUGAGAAAUUGGAAGUUCCAGUGAUGUCAAAAACUCACGUGAAAAACUCAGGUGAAGAAGACGAGUUGAAAAAAAAGACAUCUCGUAUUUCUUUUGAUGAUGAUGACAU